GUGCUCGUUUCGGCAGCACAGAUGCUACAACUGGAAUCACACAGAGAAGACUGGCAUGGCCCCCCUGCACAAAGACGGCCUGCAAAUUCAUGAAGCGCUCCUUUGUUUU
ensembl:snRNA U6 U6 spliceosomal RNA